rnacentral:rRNA from 1 species
GACGAACGCUGGCGGCGUGCCUAAUACAUGCAAGUAGAACGCUGAAGGAGGAGCUUGCUUCUCUGGAUGAGUUGCGAACGGGUGAGUAACGCGUAGGUAACCUGCCUGGUAGCGGGGGAUAACUAUUGGAAACGAUAGCUAAUACCGCAUAAUAGUAGAUGUCGCAUGACAUUUGCUUAAAAGGUGCAAUUGCAUCACUACCAGAUGGACCUGCGUUGUAUUAGCUAGUUGGUGAGGUAACGGCUCACCAAGGCAACGAUACAUAGCCGACCUGAGAGGGUGAUCGGCCACACUGGGACUGAGACACGGCCCAGACUCCUGCGGGAGGCAGCAGUAGGGAAUCUUCGGCAAUGGACGGAAGUCUGACCGAGCAACGCCGCGUGAGUGAAGAAGGUUUUCGGAUCGUAAAGCUCUGUUGUAAGAGAAGAACGAGUGUGAGAGUGGAAAGUUCACACUGUGACGGUAUCUUACCAGAAAGGGACGGCUAACUACGUG